GAUGAACGCUGGCGGCGUGCUUAACACAUGCAAGUCGAACGAAGCACUUUAUUUGAUUUCCUUCGGGACUGAUUAUUUUGUGACUGAGUGGCGGACGGGUGAGUAACGCGUGGGUAACCUGCCUUGUACAGGGGGAUAACAGUUGGAAAUGGCUGCUAAUACCGCAUAAGCGCACAGCAUCGCAUGAUGCAGUGUGAAAAACUCCGGUGGUAUAAGAUGGACCCGCGUUGGAUUAGCUAGUUGGUGAGGUAACGGCCCACCAAGGCGACGAUCCAUAGCCGACCUGAGAGGGUGACCGGCCACAUUGGGACUGAGACACGGCCCAAACUCCUACGGGAGGCAGCAGUGGGGAAUAUUGCACAAUGGGCGAAAGCCUGAUGCAGCGACGCCGCGUGAGCGAAGAAGUAUUUCGGUAUGUAAAGCUCUAUCAGCAGGGAAGAUAAUGACGGUACCUGACUAAGAAGCACCGGCUAAAUACGUG
rnacentral:rRNA from 1 species